rnacentral:rRNA from 1 species
AUUGAACGCUGGCGGCAUGCUUUACACAUGCAAGUCGAACGGUAACAGGCCGCAAGGUGCUGACGAGUGGCGAACGGGUGAGUAAUGCAUCGGAACGUGCCCAGUCGUGGGGGAUAACGCAGCGAAAGCUGCGCUAAUACCGCAUACGAUCUCUGGAUGAAAGGGGGGGACCGUAAGGCCUCGCGCGACUGGAGCGGCUGAUGUCAGAUUAGGUAGUUGGUGGGGUAAAGGCUCACCAAGCCAACGAUCUGUAGCUGGUCUGAGAGGACGACCAGCCACACUGGGACUGAGACACGGCCCAGACUCCUACGGGAGGCAGCAGUGGGGAAUUUUGGACAAUGGGCGCAAGCCUGAUCCAGCAAUGCCGCGUGCAGGAAGAAGGCCUUCGGGUUGUAAACUGCUUUUGUACGGAACGAAACGGUCCUGGUUAAUACCCGGGGCUAAUGACGGUACCGUAAGAAUAAGCACCGGCUAACUACGUGCCAGCCGCCGCCGUAAGAC